rnacentral:misc_RNA from 1 species
AGGGAAAUGGUUUCAUUUAGCAAGAGAUAAGGUAGUAAAUCCUUGUGGAAGCAAAACAGUAACACGAUAUUGAUAAACUAUUACUAGUGUAUUUUAUGAGAGUGCAUUGCAGGCUUGUAAAACUUAUAUUUUAUCAACUUAAGGGUUGAUUGCUUGAUGUGGAAAUGAAACCAUUUCUCUCCUUCCUAAAUGGAAGCAACUUCUUUGCAUAUGAAUUGAUCUCUCAUUUCAGACUCAUUAGUUCUACUGCUUUGAUGUCAUUGAGCUAUCUGACCGGAGUAGAUUACCUUGAGUUUCAAUGUAUGGUCUAAUGAAAGUCCUCCGCCACCAGACCUCGAAGGCUUUCUGGAGAUUUGGGCAAUUAUCGCCAGCCUUCAAAAAACUGCCCAACCAUGCAAGCAAAAUACUCUGUUGGUUCUCCAGAGGUAGAGUCAGGAUUGUCCUCCCUAUGCCUUCCUCCACCACCUUCCGAUCAAAUGAGCGGCUACCAUGUUGUAACCAACUGUAGUCAUUGAUCAAUGGCUGUAACCAGGUUUGUAACAAUAGGUGACGAGUGUCCUUUAAUGGUAGCAGCUCUCCUCUUCCAAUUCCAACAAACAGCCUUGCAGUAAUGCAGCUAACAUGGUAACGGGACACUAUAGGCAGCUUUGCAUGUAGGGCUGCCAACUCCUGCUGACUAGCCCACAUUAAAGCAAAUUCAUCUGCCACUUGUCUGUUGGCCAAAAUGUCAAGCAACCAUGAUAAGUUAUCAGCCUCAAGAGCUAUUCGUUUCACCACUGGUUCCCUA